rnacentral:tRNA from 2 species
GGGUCCUUAGUUCAAUAGGUUAGAGCCCCUGAUUGUCGAUUAGGAAGUUACCAGUUCGAAUCUGGUAGGACUCG